GAUGAACGCUCGCGGCAUGCUUAACACAUGCAAGUCGAACGGGAAGUGGUGUUUCCAGUGGCGAACGGGUGAGUAACGCGUAAGAACCUGCCCUUGGGAGGGGAACAACAACUGGAAACGGUUGCUAAUACCCCGUAGGCUGAGGAGCAAAAGGAGAAAUCCGCCCAAGGAGGGGCUCGCGUCUGAUUAGCUAGUUGGUGAGGUAAUAGCUUACCAAGGCGAUGAUCAGUAGCUGGUCCGAGAGGAUGAUCAGCCACACUGGGACUGAGACACGGCCCAGACUCCUACGGGAGGCAGCAGUGGGGAAUUUUCCGCAAUGGGCGAAAGCCUGACGGAGCAAUGCCGCGUGGAGGUGGAAGGCCUACGGGUCGUCAACUUCUUUUCUCGGAGAAGAAACAAUGACGGUAUCUGAGGAAUAAGCAGCGGCUAACUCUGUG
rnacentral:rRNA from 1 species